rnacentral:rRNA from 1 species
AUCUACCAGUGACCUGGUUAGCCAGUCCUGCUCUUGUUGGAGCCUCAGCAUGGGGCCCGUGUGUUCUACCUCCUGUGCAUCUAUCUGAGUGUCCUGGCUCCCUGGUGCUGCCCGUAGCCCAGGUCUCCUCUGACCCACCCUUGUGUGGCAGGGAGAGGCUGGUGCAGGCGGGCUCCCCUCUACCUGCAUGUGUGCUCCCUGCUGCGGGCACCCAGGGUGGUAGUUACUAUCCCACCCCAUUGCCUCUGUGUCAUGCAGGUCAGGCGUCCUCCUCUCUCAUAGGGUUGUUUGCCGUUUCUUCCCCAGAUCAGGGUUGGCCAACUGUGGGUCUGUCAGGUCUGUGGCUUUGUUGAGGUUGACCCCUUUCCCCUGCUCUGCAUCUUUUGUUCCGAUUGAUGUGGUGACGUCAUGCUCUCCCGGGUCACGAACGAUCGGCGGUGGGCAAGGGAUGGACAUUCGUGGCAAAUGGGACCGCUCUUUUUAUCCUGCUUGUGGGGCUUCUUGCCUCCCUCUCCUCCACAGUGCCUGUGUGGUUUGUGUUGUGAGGCAUAGGGUUACUGAAUCGGGCCUGGCCUCACUGUGCUUCCCAUUCUCCAUCCAGUUGGGGUGGCAGGGUCCUCUGAAGUGGCAGGCCUCCCUUGCUCUCACCUCCUGUGGUUGUUGCCUUGCGGGAGUGGCCCCUCUUUGUGGCAAUGGGGCGCUCGUCCGGCCUUCCUGUCGUCCUGCUCUCAUUGGGGUGGUGUGAGCAUUGGCUUCGCUUUGGCCUUUGGGCCCUCUGUGCCCCCUCCUUCUCUUGCUGCCACGGGUUUUGCAUGUGGGUCCCAAGGAGGAGCUCAGCUCAUCAGGGGAGUGUAGUCGAGGCAGUCGAGCAAGGUGCGCCCCUUAUGCACGUGCAGAGACCUGGGUAUAGGAGCGGAAGACUAAUCCUGCAGCUGGUUCCCUCCGAAGUUUCCCUCAGGAUAGCUGGUGCUCUCACAACCGUUUCACUUCCACACAGUCUUAUCCGGUAAAGCGAAGGGUUAGAGAGGUCUUUGUGCCAAAACGAUCUCAACCUGUUCCAAACUUUAAAUAGGUAAAAAGCCCCACUUGCUGGUGUGGAGCUGGGCGUGAAAUACGAGUGCCUAGUGGGCCACUUUUGGUAAGUAUAACUCGCUCUGCGAGAUGAACUGAGUGCCAGGUUAAGGCACCCAAUGCCGACCUCAUCAGACCCCAGAACAGGUGUUGGUUGAUAUAGGCAGCAGGAUGCUGGCCAUGGAUGUCGGAAUCCGCUAAGGAGUGUAUAACAACUCACCUGCUGAAUCAACUAGCCCUUAAAACGGAUGGCGCUGGAGUGUCGGGCUCAUACCCAGCCAUCGCCUGCAGUUGAGUGUGGACAGAAGUGGCAGCGUGGGCGCGGGUGGUGGCGUUGGUGGUGUCUGCACUGCCCCGCCAGGGCCCCACGGAUGCUACUGCACGAUGCAAUGAGUAGAAGGUUUGCUGCGGUGAGCCUUGAAGCCUAGGGUGCAGUCCCGGGUGGAGCUGCUGCAGGUGCAGAUCUUGGUGGUAGUAACAAAUAUUGAAAGAACUUUGAAGGCCAAAGUGCAGAAGGCUUCCAUGUGAACAGCAAUUGAAGAUGGGUAAGUCGGUCCUGAGAAAUGGGUGAGAGCCGUGCUGAUGGAAUGGGCAAUGGCUUCUGUUGCCCUCGGACAAUUGAAAGUGAGUCGGGUUCAGAUCCCCGAAUCUGGAGUGGUGGGGAUGAGCUCCACGAGGCGUCCAGUGAGGGAACGCGACGGAUCCUGGAGAAGCCAGUGGGAGCCCCGUGGAGACUUCUCUUUCCUUUGUGAAGGACAGGGCCACGAGCCAAUCCCACGCUUUGGGUCCACUCCUGGGGCCACGGUUCCACGUGGUGCCUUGCCUACACCAGUGCCUCACAGCCAACUUAAAAAUGGUGCGCACCAGGGAAAUCUGACUGUUUAAUUAAAACAAAACCUCAUGAAGGCUUGAGGCAGGUGUUGAGGCGAUGUGAUUUCUGCCCAGUGCUCUGAAUGUCAAAGUUAAGAAAUUCAAUGAAGUGUGAAUAAACAUCAGGAGUAACUAUGACUCUUUUAAAAAAUCCAAAUGCUUCGUCUUCUAAUUAGUGAUGUGCAUGAACGGAUGAAGGAGAUUCCCACUGUCACUACCUACUUUCCAGUGAAACCACAGCCUAGGCAAUGGGCUUGGCAGCAUCAGCGAGGAAAGAAGACCCUGUUGGGCUUGACUUUAGUCUGGCAUGGUGAAGAGACAUGAGAGGUGUGGAAUAAGUGGGAGACCACCGGCGCCCCACCCCCACAUCCCCACUGGCAUUGCGGGCCGCUGCUGAAAUGCCACUACCCUGACAGUUUUCUCACUGACCCAGUGAGGCUGGGGAGCGAGCCCCAAGGGGCUCUCGCUUCUUGCGCCAGGAGCCCGGUCGCGUGCCACCAGCUGGGUGUGACCUUCUGCAUGGACAGUGCCAGGUGGGGAGUUUGACUGGGACGGUACACCUGUCAGACAGUAACGCAGGUGUCCUAAGGCAAGCGCAGGGAGGACAAAACCCUCUUGUGGAGCAGAAGGGCAAAAGCUCACUUGAUCUUGAUUUUCAGUAUGAGUACGAAUACAGACCAUGAAAGCGGGGCCUCACGAUCCUCCUGACCUUUUGGGUUUGAAGGAGGAGGUGUCAGAAAAGUUACCACAGGGAUGGUUGUCUUGUGGCCUCCAAGCGUUCAUAGAGACAUCACUUUUUGAUCCUUAGAUGUCAGCUCUUCCUAUCAUUGUGAAGCAUAACUCACCAAGUAUUGGCUUGUUCACCCUCUAAUAGGAAACGUGAGCUGGGUUUAGACCAUCAUGAGACAGGUUAGUUUUACCCUACUUAUGAUGUGUUGUUGCCAUGGUAAUCCUGCUCAGUACAAGAGGAACCACAGGUUCAGACGUUUGGUGUAUGUGCGUUGCUGAGGAGCCAAUGGGGCUAGGCUACCAUCUGUGGGAUUAUGACUGGACGCCUCUAAUUCAGAAUCCACCCAGGCAGAAUGAUACAGCAGCACCAUGGCGUGGAGCCACGGAGCCUCGGUUGGACUCAGAUAGCCGGUCCCCUGCUGUCCAUGCCGGCGUCUACUGCACAUGCCGGGACCAGGGUCUGGUGCAAAGUGCCCCUCGUCCUGGAAAACGGGAUGCAGCAAAAAUGGUGGUCGCCCCCUCGGACGUCACGUGAUGCACAUUCGUGGAGACCCUGGCACAUUUGUAGACGACCUGCUUCUGUGUCCGGGUUUACUAAGUAGCAGAGCAGCUUCCUUGCUGCAAUCUACUGAAAGUAAGCCCUCGACACAAAGAUUU